UUGAAAUGAGAUUAUUGGACUCAAAUAAUUAAAUGAAUCAGGGCCCAAAUAAAAUAUUAGCAGCCCAACUGAAAUAAUUAACUCUGGGCCCAAGUUAGAUAAUUAAACUUAGCCCAAUUGAAAAGAAGUAAAAAUAAAAAUAAAACAAAGCCCAACUUUCAGCCCAAAAGAAGAAAAAUAAUUGAAUCUGGGUCCAGAAUCAAAUAAAAUGGUGAGGCCCAAGGAAAUGGCCCAACUCUUCUUAUUCACCCCCAACUCGUCUCUCUCUUUCUCUCAAUCAGAUACUCCCUUCGGUCCUCUCCCUCUCUCUCCCUCUCCCUCUCGAUCCGGCCUCAGCCGAGGCGCCUGCCGCCGCCGCUCCGCGACCUGGCGAGUCGGCGCUUCGCCUCUUCUCCCUCUCUUCUCAAAGCAGACGCCCCUCUCUGAUAAUACAUGCUCAAGGCAAAUAGGGUGAGCCCUAAUUCCUCCAUCACCUGAAUCCGCCACCACCACUUUUGAAAUCCGGCGAACGGCCGUUGCCGGUGGGUGAGGCCGCCCCUCCUUCGUCUGUCGUCCUUCCUCCCUCAAUUUCUCUCUCAAAAGUCCACCGAAGAAGAUAAACUGAGGGGUCCUAUUCUCUCCCAAAAUCAGAAAUCGCCGCCGCCGCCGCCUAUGGAAGAACGGCGAACGGUCGCUGGUCGUCGCCCUGCCUGACUCGGACGCUCCCUUCGCCCAUCUCCUUUCGGCUUCAAUCGUUCUUCUCUCCCUCGAAUCUAUUGAAGGAACGAAGAAGCCCUAAUUUCUGCCAGAGGAAAGAAUACCGCCUCCGCUGCAUCUGGAAGGCCGGCUUCGCCGCGCCGCUGCACUCGCGGCGGCGGCCGCUGGUCGUCUGGCCGCCGAGGGCGCCGAUCCUCGGCUGCCCCCCUCUUCAUCUCACUACCUUCCUUUUGAAAUCGAGUGCAAAGGAUGAAGGGAGGAAACAUAAUUUCCUCAGUCUGAUAUCGUUUCCGCCGUUGCUGCUCCGCGGUUUCCGGCUAGUAGGGGAAAGCCUGCCGUUGUUGUUUUCUCCAGGGUCGACGGUUCGAGCCACGCCACGCUGCUGCUGCUGGAUUCGGGCGAAGGGUACGCCGCCGAAUGCUGCUAUUCCAGAAUCGGCGAGGGCCAUCGCCGAGGUCAGGAGUCGCCUGCCCUUCACCGCUUGACGCCGUCGACGCUGCUGCCCCCGCGAGUCGCCGCCCAGACGUCGUUUCUCGGCCUGACUAAGCAGGGCAGCGUCCCUCUUUUCUAAAAGCUAAGUUCUCCUCUACCCUACUGUAAAGCUUGAUUUUCCUUAUUGUGCUUAGUAUGUUGAGUUGCUCGAGUUCUACACACUAAUUCUUACAUUAAAAAAAAUGUAACUGGUGUUCUGCAUUAUGGAGUGUAACUUGGCUAUGUUCAUUAUGCUUAUAUAGGUCUUCUAUCAUUUGAAUCUGAUCAUGAUUGAUGGUAUGAAAUGCGGAUGGAAUUUGAAUAACUGAGAUGGUGGAAUUUAGAAGGUGAUGAAGAAAGUUGAAGAAAGCCUACUUCCUUGAAGUUUGGCAGUAGUGCAGUAAAUGAUUUCUUCCUCAAAUGUUUCGAGUGUUGGGGUACUACUGGAUUGGAGCAGCUUGAAGUCUUGGCAGAGUAGUUAAGCCAAGUCUCCCUUCUCCUUGUGAUUGCUGGUGCGAAAUGGAAGGAAUGGGUGAAGUGUUGGGGUAGUAUAAAGGGUGGAUGGAGGCUGCACACUUGAGUGUGCUAGAGGAUAGGUAGGAGGGGUGGGGAGAAUGGGAUUGGAGGAGUGGGGCGGCUGGCAUAGGGGAAAGGGAAUGGUGUUGCAGAUUUUUGCACACACAUACACAUUUCUUUUUAUCUACUUUUGAUGUAGUAGGGUAGUAUGGAGUAGGAGUAGGAAGGAUGAUGCUUGUAAAUGUAGAUGUGAUGGCAAUAAGUAAAAUUGUUCUAUCUUGAUAAAUCCAAAUCUGUAAUAAUGUAUCACUUGAUCAAUGAAAUACUAGUUCCGGGUUUUU